CGUGUAGGCGGUUUGUACAGUCAGAUGUGAAAUCCCCGGGCUUAACCUGGGAGCUGCAUUUGAGACGUGCAGACUAGAGUGUGAGAGAGGGUUGUGGAAUCCCCAGUGUAGAGGUGAAAUUCGUAGAUAUUGGGAAGAACACCGGUGGCGAAGGCGGCAACCUGGCUCAUUACUGACGCUGAGGAGCGAAAGCGUGGGGAGCGAACA
rnacentral:rRNA from 1 species